rnacentral:rRNA from 1 species
GGGUGAGUAAUGCUUGGGAAUCUGGCUUAUGGAGGGGGAUAACUACGGGAAACUGUAGCUAAUACCGCGUAAUAUCGAGAGAUUAAAGGGUGGGACCGCAAGGCCACCUGCCAUGAGAUGAGCCCAAGUGGGAUUAGGUAGUUGGUGAGGUAAAGGCUCACCAAGCCGACGAUCUCUAGCUGGUCUGAGAGGAUGACCAGCCACACUGGAACUGAGACACGGUCCAGACUCC